UGACGUAGGAGACGAGCGUUGUCCGGAAUUACUGGGCGUAAAGCGCGUGUAGGCGGAUAGGCAAGUCUGCUGUGAAAGCUCCUGGCUUAACCGGGAGUGGUCGGUGGAAACUGCCUGUCUGGAGGACGGUAGAGGCUGGUGGAAUUCCCGGUGUAGUGGUGAAAUGCGUAGGAGAUCGGGAGGAACACCUGUGGCGAAGGCGGAGCC
rnacentral:rRNA from 1 species